UACGAGUAAAGAUGCUCGUUACGCGCAGCAGGACGGAAAGACCCCGUGACCUUUACUACAGCUUGGUAUUGGUGUUCGGAGUGGCUUGUGUAGGAUAGGUGGGAGACUGUGAAGCUUGGACGCUAGUUCAGGUGGAGUCAUUGUUGAAAUACCACUCUGGUCACUUUGGAUAUCUAACUACGAACCGUGAUCCGGUUCUGGGACAGUGCCUGGUGGGUAGUUUAACUGGGGCGGUUGCCUCCCAAAAAGUAACGGAGGCGCCCAAAGGUUCCCUCAACCUGGUUGGCAAUCAGGUGUCGAGUGUAAGUGCACAAGGGAGCUUGACUGUGAGACUGACAAGUCGAGCAGGGACGAAAGUCGGGACUAGUGAUCCGGCAGUGGCUUGNNNNNNNNNNNNNNNNNNNACGGAUAAAAGGUACCUCGGGGAUAACAGGCUGAUCUUGCCCAAGAGUCCAUAUCGACGGCAUGGUUUGGCACCUCGAUGUCGGCUCGUCGCAUCCUGGGGCUGGAGUAGGUCCCAAGGGUUGGGCUGUUCGCCCAUUAAAGCGGUACGCGAGCUGGGUUUAGAACGUCGUGAGACAGUUCGGUCCCUAUCCGCUGCGCGCGUAGGAAAUUUGAGAAGAUCUAUCCCUAGUACGAGAGGACCGGGAUGGACGAACCUCUGGUGUGUCAGUUGUCCUGCCAAGGGCACCGCUGAUUAGCUACGUUCGGAACGGAUAACCGCUGAAAGCAUCUAAGCGGGAAGCCGGCUUCGAGAUGAGAUUUCCAUACCCUUCGGGGUGAGAGGCUCCCAGCUAGACUACUGGGUUGAUAGGCCGGAUGUGGAAGUGGGGACUAACGACCCAUGGAGCUGACNNNN
rnacentral:ncRNA from 1 species